rnacentral:tmRNA from 1 species
GGGGGCGAAUAGGUUUGACAUAAAUGGGUUAUUGCAUCGCUUGCAGGCCGUGGGCGACCCUGGCCACGUAAAAAGGGUCAAAACAACAACUGCCAACUCAAACGAGAUGGCUUGGGCAAACGCUUAAUAAGCGUCUUAUUGCUCACGCAGCCGUAUGUUCUCCCAGGACAUACGAUACUGUGUCACUAACUGGGAUGGUUUUAUCCUGUGUAAGUUCGUGCAGGAUAGAGCGAGACACAACGGACUGGCAAAGCGGUACGGUGGCCUUUGACCUGCCCUUUGCUUGAUAAACAAAGGAUAAGCCUGUAGUGGGCAUGCAGUAUCAUUUAUGGACCCGGGUGCAAAUCCCGGCGCCUCCAG